AAACUACUCCCUCUGUUCCGAAUUACUUGUUGCAGGUAUGGAUGUAUCUAGAUGUAUUUUAGUUCUAGAUACAUCCAUUUCUACGACGAGUAAUUUGGAACGGAGAGAGUAUUUG
rnacentral:pre_miRNA from 1 species